CGUCGAAGCUUUAUCGCUCUCAUUGACUUGACUCUCUCUCUUGUGUUCGUCAAUGUUUAAACUCGUUGAUAAAUUUUUCUUCUUUGUUGAUUGGAGUGUAAAUUUUGUUUCAGCGGAUCUCUAAUUUGUGAUUGAUGGACACCAUUGCUGGAUUCGCCGACUCGUAUGAAAUCAGCAACACAAGCAGCACAAGCUUCUUCGCCGCCGCUCCGGCACCGACCGAUAACACCGAGUCAUCUACUGUUUGUCCUGCCGAAUUUCUCACCGGACCCGAUGUAUCGGCGCUUCAGCUACUCUCCAACAGCCUCGAAUCCGUCUUCGACUCGCCGGAAGAUUUCUACAGCGACGCCAAGCUGAUUCUCGCCGGCGGACGGGAAGUACCCUUCCACCGUUGCCUUCUGGCAGCGAGAAGCCCCUUCUUCAGAAACGCUUUAGCCGCCGUGAAGAAUUCCGCCGCCGUGAAGCUCGAGCUGAAGGAGAUUGCCAAGGAUCACCAAGUGGGUUUCGACUCGGUGGUUGCUGUUUUGUCGUACAUUUACAGCGGCAGAGUGAAGCCGCCGCCGAAGGGUGUUUCCGAUUGCGCUUACGAGAACUGCUGCCACGUGGCUUGCCGGCCGGCGGUGGAUUUCAUGGUGGAGGUUCUCUAUUUGGCUUUCGUCUUCGAGAUUCCGGAGCUAGUUACGCUCUAUCAGAGGCAUUUACUGGAUGUUGUAGACAAAGCUUUCGUAGAGGACACAUUGGUCAUACUCAAGCUUGCUAACAUCUGUGGUAAAGCAUGCGAGAAGCUAACUGAUAGAUGCAAAGAGAUUAUUGUCAAGUCUGAUGUCGAUUUAGUUACUCUUGACAAGUCCUUGCCGCAACACAUUGUCAAAGAGAUAACUAAGAUCCGUAAAGAGCUCGGCUUUGAGGUACCUGAGCUAGAGAAACAUGUCUCGAACAUAUACAAGGCGCUUGACUCGGAUGAUGUUGAGCUUGUCAAGAUGCUUUUGAAAGAAGGCCACACCAAUCUUGAUGAUGCGUAUGCUCUUCAUUUCGCUGUUGCGUACUGCGAUGUGAAGACCGCGACGGAUCUCUUAGACCUGGAGCUUGCAGAUGUUAAUUGUAGAAAUCCGAGGGGUUACACGGUGCUUCAUGUUGCUGCGAUGCGUAAGGAGCCAAAACUGAUAGCGUCUCUGUUGACAAAAGGAGCAAAUGCAUCAGACACGUCUUUGGAAGGUAGAACCGCUCUCUUGAUCGCGAAACAAGUCACUAUGGCGGCUGAGUAUAACAAUGUAACGGAGCGAUGCAAGCCUUCUCUCAAAGGCCGGCUGUGCGUAGAGAUAUUAGAGCAAGCAGACAAAGGAGAUCCGUUUCCUAGAGAUGUUUCUCCAUCUCUUGCAAUGGCUGGACAUGAACUGAAGUCGAGGCUGCUCGAUCUUGAAAACAGAGUUGCACUGGCUCGACGUCUCUUUCCAAUGGAAGCACAAGUUGCAAUGGACAUCGCCCAAAUGAAGGGAACAUGCGAGUUCAUAGGGACUAACCACGAACAUGAACGUCUCACUGGUGCAAAGAGGACAUCACCGGACGUAAAGAUUGCACCUUUCGAAAUCCUAGAAGAGCAUCAAAGUAGACUAAAAGCGCUUUCUAAAACCGUGGAACUCGGGAAACGCUUCUUCCCACGCUGUUCGGCAGUUCUGGAUUCGAUUAUGGACUGUGAGGACUUGACUCAACUGGCUUGCGAAGGAGAAGACACUCCUGAAAAACGAAUACAAAAGAAGCAAAGGUACAUGGAAAUACAAGAGACUGUGAAGAAGGCCUUUAGUGAGGAUAAGGAGGAAUUUGGAAAUUCGUCUCUCUCAGCUUCUUCUUCUUCCACGUCGAAAUCCACCGCUGGAAAGAAGAGAUCUAAUGGUAAACUCUCUCAUCGGCGUAGCUGCAGGUGUGUUUCAGACAAAUGUUAUAACUUUGAAUAUCAGCCAUAUACAGAUUUGUGAUAUAUCAAUAAUAAGUCACAGAUUGAUCGAGAAUCAAAGUGACAAAAAUGACAAAUGGCCUGUGAUGAGAGAACACUGAUUGCACGAGUAAGGUAUUAUGAACCAUCAUGCAUCCAACAUUCCCUUUGCAACAUUUGUGAGCCUUGCGGCUGAAGCCAACGCAUGUUUUUAGCCACAACAUGUCUUCCACUGUUCUAGCUUCUUUUUGACUUUUAAGACAGCAAGCAAGAUUGUAUACUCUUUUGGCUCAAUUGUCAUUUUUUUCUUCAUAUUUUUAUCAUUUGUUCCUGUUAAAGCUAACUUA